CUCCUCUGGCAAUGAGAAAAGAGACACCUUGUUGAUAGUGGUGUUUUUAUAUCAAUCAGGGGCAGAGCAGAUGGUAGUCUUUUGUUCAACCUAGCUUGAUGCCUGGCUUAGUCACCAAAGCUUUAUUAUGCCUAGAACACAGAA